rnacentral:tRNA from 2 species
GGCGACGUAGCUCAGUUGGAAAGAGCCUUCUUUGUUUCGAUGGUUUCCGUUCGAGGGGCCAGGCGGGAAGUUUGUGUCGCGGGUUCGAGUCCCGCCGUCGCCCCA